UACAGAGGGGGCAAGCGUUUGUUCGGAAUUACUGGGCGUAAAGGGCGCGUAGGCGGCCUUCUAAGUCGAACGUGAAAUCCCCGGGCUCAACCCGGGAACUGCGUCCGAUACUGGAAGGCUUGAAUCCGGGAGAGGGAUGCGGAAUUCCAGGUGAGCGGUGAAAUGCGUAGAGAUCAGGAGGAACAUCAGCGGCGAAGGCGGCGAACUGGAUAGUCACUGACACUCAACUACGAAAGCCAGGGGAGCAAACGGG
rnacentral:rRNA from 1 species